rnacentral:rRNA from 1 species
CGACCGGCGCACGGGUGAGUAACACGUAUGCGACCUGCCCGUAGCAGGGGGAUAAGCGGAAGAAAUUCCGUCUAAUACCGCGUAAUAUCUUUCGGGGGCAUUCCUGAGGGAUUAAAGGAAGCGAUUCCGGCUACGGAUGGGCAUGCGGCGCAUUAGCUAGUCGGCGGGGUAAUGGCCCACCGAGGCGACGAUGCGUAGGGGUUCUGAGAGGAAGGUCCCCCACACUGGCACUGAGACACGGACCAGACUCCUACGGAAGGCAGCAG